rnacentral:lncRNA from 1 species
GUGGGCAAAUCUUUUCCGCAGCCUUCGAGCAGGGGUUUUCUUGUCUUGAGGGUCUUCAAGCUUCGAAACCCUUUUUCUUUUGUUGUCCUUCUCAAACUUCGGGAUUGAAAACUUGGUCCCUUCCCUGGGCGUUGCCGGCCUCAUCUCGGAUACAUCUCCGAGGCCUACACAAGUAAACGUGAAUAAGUUGACGCCACCAACAUAUGAAAAGUAUUUGAAACUUGGGAAAAACACUUACUAUAAUUUUUGGCCUCUCACUGGCCCUUUGAUAAUUCGUGCCAUUUGCGCUCAUCAUACGAGGAUGUCGCUGCCAACUUUCAGACCCAAUUUUCGAGAUCAGGAACAACAAGGGGUAUCCAAGCAACAACUGCAAAAAAUAUAAAAGUAUUAUUAUGGGAUAUGGAAAUGGAGUAUAUAUAUAGAUAUUAGGAAGAAGGACUCCACUUACGAUUGUAAUUCCAUUUCUCUAGGAACAACAUUUUUGUUCCGGGGAAUGACAUCUGAAGCCUUUACUAUGACAAACCAGCUCAUCCAACCCCGAUCCUUUACUUCGUCGCUGCUGGCGAAGAAGGUUUUCUUUGUGCGAUGUUGUAGCUUGACAAGCCCUCGAAAUAGCUAGUGCCGGUACAACCGAAUCAGGUGGUUGAGGGUGAAUUCCAACCCCUCAACCUUUUCGGAAAAAUAGCACAACAUGAUUAUGAUGCGCCAAAAAGAGGGGUGAAUCUAGCCAAGGGUGAUUUCAUACAUUUUGGAGAAAUCAAUCACCACCAGAUCAAGGGGAUCCAGUGUGAAGGGGUAAGUGUAAACACUUAAAAACUCCUCCAUGUGGGUAGUAAUGCUUUCCUUGGGGCUCGGAAUCUGAAUCACGACCUCAUCUCCCCAGCCACAGUCUUUCUUCACGUCCUUAAGGUGCUUCUUCGGUAUCAAGCUGAGAUAUCAAGAUGCAUGCUCGCAUCAGCCUGGGACGUCGGGGGGAUUUUCAAUACUAAAGUCCUUUUUAAUUAUACAAUGGCCAGAGGUGAAUUCCUCAAGAGUUGGCGGCGCCAUCGAUUUGGCCGAUUGGGAAGUAGAAGAAGAUGAUGCCUUUUCCUUUUGAGGGACUAUUAUAGAAGUUUUCGCCAUGGUUUUGGGUUACAAAAGACGGCAAGGCCUGGUUGUUACCGGUACUAAGAAGACGGUAGUAGCAGAAAAUAAAGAGAACAGAUUAAGAGAGAGAGGUAUGGAGUAGGUACAAAGAUGCUUGAAAAUUGAAGUAAAGCUUUCUUAAAGGUAGGACCUUAUAUUUAUAGAUGGUCGGCGACGGUUCAACAACGCUAGCAGCCGACCAACACUGGCGUGCAUUUAAUAUUUUGGGGAAGCGAACCGACAGGACAUUUCAGUCACUUCAAGUGCCUACCUCACGAGAGUGACAUCAUCGUUAUAGACUCCGAAGGAUUAAGGUUCAAAUCAUUUCUUAUCAUCUUAUUCUAAGAAACACGAGUACUAUUUGUAUACGGUCGAGAUAGAAUGCCUUCGAUCCAUGUAUUCAUAAGAUCGUCCGAAGUCCGAGUCCGGGCGAGGUCAAGUUCGAGACCGGCUGACUAGACUUGAGCUUAAAUACAGAGUGCAAUACCCGGGGAUGGGAGUUCGAGGAAUACAAGGGCCAAGUAUGCUCGACCCAAAAUAGUAUCGUCAUGGAUUUGUACCAGAAUGAGCUAGAUUUCUGCCACGUCCCCAAAGUCAUGGCGCAAAUCCCGAAAUAGGAUUGUAUGAUUUCGUACUAGGCAGUUAUACAGAUGUACCAAGAAUAUUCCUUACUGUAAAGAGAAAUAUUCCUUAUUUAGGGUUCCCCAAUUAUAUAAACGGGACCCCAAUCAUUUGUAACAUCAUCUAAUCAUUGAGCAAAGAAUAUACUCUCUACUUUUAGCCUACCGUCCAUCAGAAUUGUCCUUUAGCUUUAUUGUUCUUACUUUGCUUUUCUUACUCAAUUGUUCUUACUGGCCUUAGCCAUCUUGAGGUCACUAAGCUCGACGUCAAUGCUGCUAAGUAACAUUGAUUUGAUUUACUUCUAUCUUUCAUUUCUACUUCAUAUCUCUUGAUUAUUAAUUGGUAUUGAACUAAAUAACAUAGCUUUAAAACCACUAAUCAAAUUUAAUUGUUACUCGUAUUUUCGAGAUAAACAAGUUGAAAAGUUUGAAGUCAACUUUUAUGCAAAGUUGGCAAGUUAUUUUUGCCGAGUUGUUCUUUAAGCAAUGUUUUCUUAGGGGUGUCAAUGGUUUGAUUUAACCGGCAAUUUUAUAAAAUUUGUACAAAACUAAUUUUUCAGUUAUUUUAUUUUGUAUAACAAAAAUUAGACUUUUUUAAACCGUUACAAUCAUCUCGAUUUUUCUUCGGUUUGGCUUGGUUCGGUUAAUUUUUGGUAUUUUUCUCAAAAUAUCACAGAAAAGUCGCUAAUAAAAGUUAGAAUACGAUAAGAUACGUACUUACUUAGGACUUCGGUAAAACUCCCUAAAUAUUUUUGCAGUAUAAAAAACAAUGAAUCAAGGGAAUAUGAAAGACAGAAAGAAUAGAGAUUGUUCUACUAUAUUGUAAAGGAAAGUUAAGUAAAGGCAAAAAUAGAUCACACGAGUUGAAAAACAUUAAUCAAGAUCGGACCCAAGAAUAAAGUUUAUUGAAAGAUUAAGUAUCCAAUUAGAAAAAUGGUAUAAUAUAUAAUUACUCCAUUGGAUUUAUAACACAUUACCUAAUGCACCCUUUCGCUUUACAGGGGUCCUAUGACCCCCUUAUAUGUAUAUUUUUAGUGAAAUUAUUAACUCCUUUUGAGCUUACAUGGCACUUGUUGUGUAAUGCACUUGAUGCCUAAGCAUGAAAAGCUCCAAAAUGGCAUUUUUUCUUUUCGUUUUUUAUAUCUCUUGUUUUCUUUUACCUGUUACUUUAUACCCUUUUAACCAUCUUCAUACAUCUAUAUGCAACUUCCACCAAACUCCCCUCCUUUCCUUUUCUUUUAUUUUCUUUACCUUUUCAAUUUUGUCUUGUUUGUUCUCUGCCUUUGUUUCAAGAAAUAUUUGGAUUUUUUUUGGCCACACAAAUUUAUCGAUGAGACUGGAGUCACCAAAUCAAUUGUUGUCCUUGGAAUAUACACAAAAUUCUGGGCCUUCUAACAUUUUGGCAAAUUUCAUGGCCUCUUUCUAGACUUCCUUUGCCAAUGCUUGGAGAUUGAGAGUGAAAGCUUAUAAAUAAAUAUUAAAUAGAUGCAGACAUAUACAGAAUCAAAUAAGGAAAAAGAACAAUUAUAUUCGUUUUCACAUACUUAAGGGUUUUGAGGAUAUUGGGCUUUGGAUAAAAGGUGGCCGAAAAAUGACAGAACAAUAGCGGUAAUGGGGGUGAUUUUUGAACUUUUAGAUUUUGUGGCGGCUUUUCAAAUCUUCAGAAUUUGAUUUAGUUAUUUGUUUUAUGAUUAUUUUACUUUUGAAGUUCUAUUCUGGUGGGGAUUUAAUGGUGUUUGGUGGUAUCUGCAAUGAAGGUGGUAGCUAUGGCAAUGGUGAUGGUGACUACAGAGAAGGCGACGCUGGUAGUGAAAAAAGGAAUAGUUGAUGGAGAAAAAGAAAAAGAAAAAAUCAAAAAAUAAAAAGAAAAAAAAUUCAAAUAAAAUUGACGUGGCGUCAAAUGAUUGGUGUGUAUGUUCACAUUUAUUUUUGUGAAGCUGAUGCUUGUCUGAAAAAAGGGUAUUUACAUCAUUUAAAACGAUUAUAAGGACUCAUAGCCCCCCUCCCCCCCACCCUCACAAAUUGAAAUGGUGCAUCAGGUAAUGUGCUACAACCCCAAUGGGGUAAUUAUGCAUUAUCCUUAGAAAAAUCUAAAUCAUACAAGAGGAAUGAUAUCCAAUACCUUAUGGUUUGCUACUCAAGAUCGAUGGAAUACCUGUGGUUUGCAACUCAAGAUACAAGGUAUAACUAAUUUAGUUUCAUUAGGAGUAGCAUAAUAGAUUAAGACUUGAGACAUUUUCAUUUUAUUUACUUGUUGGCUUGUAAAUGUUUCUAUAAUUACGUCAAAGGAAAAAAAUAAUAUUUUAUUAUUUUUAAAUUUAAUAUAUAAAAUAUGUCCGGAUUUGGACUUAGGCAUAUGUCCGGAUUUGAAUUUGGAGGUUCAUAGGUUGAUUUAGUAUAUUUGGCGAAAGUUGAAGGUUUGGAAGGAUCAUAGGAUUGAUUGGGAGUUGACUUUCAUGAUAUCAGGUUGGGAUUGAAGUUCUAAGAGUUAGAAUAGGUUCGUUGUGCCAUUUGGGACUUGCAUGAGAAAUUUGAGGUCAUUCCGAGUUUGUUUGAUACCAGUGAAUUGGGACACUUAGUGUUGAUACUCCUACUAUUGAGGGAAUUCCUAGAUGUGUUUUCUAUAGACUUGCUGUGUAUGCCACCCGACAAGGAUAUUGAUUUUGAUUGUUAUUUGGUGUCGGGCACUCAUCCCAUCUCUAUUCCACCGUAUUGAAUAGUACUAGUAGAGUUGAAGGAAUAAUUUCAUCAGUUGCUUGAUAAGGGUUUUAUCAGGCCUAGUGUAUCACCAUGGAAUGCACCAUUACCAUUUGUGAAAAAGAAAGAUAGUUCUAUGAAGAUGUGCAUCGACUACAAGCAAUUGAACAAGAUUACUAUAAAAAAUAAGUACCCACUACCACAUAUUGAUUGUAACGACCCGACUGGUCGUUUUGAGCUUUAGCGCGUUGUUCGGCAGUUUGAGGCCUUGAGUAACUUCACUUCACGUACUAUGACUUGUACAUGUGAUAAGAAUUGAAUUUCGGGAAGUUUGGUGUUGAUUUGGAAAGAAAAUUCUAAUUUCGAAAGCUUUAAGUUAGAAGAAUUAACUAAGGUUUGACUUUUGAGUAAAUGACAUCGGAAUCGGGAUUUGAAAGUUCCAACAGGUUCGUAUGAUAAUUUUGGACUUGGGCGUACAUUCGGAUUGAGUUUUGGAUGAUACGGGAGCGUUUCAACGCCUAUUGUGGAAAGUUGGCAUUUUGGAAGAAUUUCAUAAAUUUGGGUUGAAGUGUAUUUUAAUGUUAUCGAUGUCCGUUUGGAAUUCCGAGCCUGGGAAUAGCUUCGUAUGGUGAUUCUUGUCUUAUGAGCACAGCCGGAUGUGGAUUUGGAGGUCUGUAGGUCAUUUGGAAAAAGUUAGAAGUUGGAGGUUUUUGGAAGUUUGACCGGGAGUGGACUUUUUGAUAUCGGGUUUGGAUUCUGAUUUUGGAAGUUGGAGUAAGUCCGUAAUAUUAAAUGUGACUUGUGUGCAAAAUUUGAGGUCAAUCGGACGUGAUUUCAUAAGAUAUGGAAGUGAGAAGUUCAAUGGUUCAUUAGGCUUGAAUCGAUGUGCAAUUCAUAGUUUUCAUGUUAAUUGGUAUGAUUUGAGGCCUCGAUCAGGUCCGUGUUAUGUUAUGGAGCAGGUCAGUGUGAUUGGACGGGGUCCCGAGGACCUCGGGUGUGUUUUGGAUGUGUUUGGGUUGUAUUGCGCUCUUAUUUGAUGUUUUAACAUCAUUUCUUUGGAUAUAAAGGAUAACAUAUUGAUAAAACAACCUUUGAUUUGUGAUUGAACUGAACCAUUAGAUCCGUAUCGUAAUUACGGAUUCAUAGCAGCAAGAAUCAUCGAAUUCCGAUGUCGUUUGAGAGAGUUAUGUCCAUUUCUGUGUCGGGAAAGAUUGCUCUCCGCGAAUGCGAGGGAGGUCCCGUGAUAGCGAAGAAGGAAAUUUGGGUUGACCGAUCAACGCGAAGAAUUGCUCUUCGCAAACGCGAAAAAGAAAAAUUGCCCGGACAAUGUUUUAAAUCGAGAAUUUUAGUAUUUUGGGCAUAUCAUAAGUUCUAGAGCUCCGUUUCAGGUGAUAUUUGUGGUGUUGUUCUCGUUUCAAUAUUUUUUCUUUUGGUUAUUAUUUUUAUCCGUAUUUGGAUUGUAGAAAGUGGCAUUUUAUGCCCCAAAGUUAAGAAAUAGUAAAUCCUUGAUUUGAUGGUCGAUUCAUGGACAAAAUUAGAUAAGUUUUUGGAUAUAGACCAUAUGAGUUAUAGGUAAAAUUUAUUUUCAAUAAUUUUCAGAAUCCUGGCACGUAGGCCUGAGGGUUGACUUUAUUGACAUUUUGAGCGGAGUUGGGAAUUCUUAUAAAUUGAUUUAUUAUGAGUAUUAGAGUAUAUUUUUAUUGUUUUCACAUUGCUUGACUAUUUUUGAGCGACGAGCACCGGUUUGAGGUGUUAGAGCGGCGUUGGAGCCGGUUAUUGAAUUACAGAGCGAGGUAAGUCUCCUGUUUAACUAUGUGAGGGGGAAAUUGCCCCCUAGGUGUUGUAAUUGAUAUGUAUUACUUGUUGUAGGGGCACACACGAGGUGAUGAGAGUCCAUACAUAGCUACAUUCAUAUUAUUGUCUGGGUAGACUCAGGUUCAUGCCAUGCUAUAACUGUACUAUUUGGGUUAUCUCUUGCUUAUUAAAUUCUUUUACUUUGCAUUACUACUUGAGACUAGAUGGACGUAAAGUGAUAGACUUGCUAUUGUAGAGAUUUGACGAGUUUCAUAAUUAGCUGCUGAAUAAUUGUACUCCUCUUACAAAUUUCUCCCAUGUUAAGCGAUCUCAUUUAAAGGUUUCCUCAAAGCUCCUUAUAACUCACAUGUUCUUUUGUGAGUGGGGUCAAGGACCCAUUAAAGCUUCUUAUUCUAAUGGUAUUGAGCCGUUUGCCUCGGUAGGAUAGAUACAUCUAUGGUUCGUGCCAUUCGACCCUCGACAGGCACAAAUUAUGAUAGGAUCGGGCCGUUUGCCUCGACAGGAUUAUGUACCACACUCUUAUGGGAGCGGACCGUUCGCCUCGGUAGCAUAAUAGAUUUAUCUAUGGUUCAUGCCGUUUGACCCUUGGUAGUGCACAAAUUAUGAUUGGAUCAGGUCGUACGCCUUGACAUUUCUAUAAAAUACUCUCAUGGAAAUUGUGCAUAAUAUCUGACAAGAAGUUAGUGUAUCUAUGAGUCUUCCUGAUUUGAAUUAUGACAACCUAUCUGGUGAGGUCUGUUAUAUAUAUAUAUAUAUAUAUAUAUAUAUGCUCUGGCUGAGGAGGUAAUUACUAAUUGUGAGCUUGAGUCUAUUGUAGAGAGGAUGACCAUAUCACGUAUUUACACUUGUUUAAUUCGUUUAUUUGCUCUACCCCAUAACUGUUUACUUCUUACUGUAUCUGUCUUAUUGGACCACUAGUAAGUGUUGAUGUUGACCCCUCGUCACUACUUCUCUAUGGUUAGGCUAGAUACUUUCUGGGUACACGUUGAUUUAGCAUUCAUGCUACACUUGCUGCACAUUUUUGUGCAUGUACAUAUGUCUGGUGAUCUUUUGGGCGCUGAGGCGCAGCUAUUGCAGGGACUUACCAUGAGCUGCAUUUCAUGUUACGAUCCGCAGUCUGCACAGUCUCCAUCAUAGUUAUUUGUAUUCUCUUGUCUAGUUUGUAUCUCAGAUAGAUGUUGUAUUCUAUUUUAUUUCCUAGUUGAUGCUCAUACACUCGUGAAACCGGAUUUUGGGGGUGCUUAUGGGUUGUCCUUUAUUGUAGUUGUGAAAAUAUUAUCAGUAACCCUGUAAAUUCUAUUUUUUACUAUUUAAUUGAUGAAAAUUAUGAUUUUAGAAAUACUAAAAUGAGUAAUUAAGUUAAACAUUCACUGUUGGCUUGCCUGACGGUGAUGUUAGGCGACAUCACGACCUCUAGUAGAUUUUGGGUCGUGACAGCUUGGUAUUAGAGCCAGGUUCAUUUAGGUCUCAUGGGUCAUGAGUUAGUCUAGUAGAGUCUUGCGGAUUGGUAUGGAGACAUCUGUACGUAUCUUCAAGAUGCUACCUGACUGAUAGGAGCACUUCCCUUUCUUGAUUCCUCAUCGUGCGAUUUGAUUCCUUUGAAGCUUAUGCCUUUAUAUCCUUCUUACAUAUUUGUAUACGAUGUUCAAUGCUCGUAUCAAUUGGGCAUCGAGGAGUUAUAGUGGUACUACAGAUAUGGGUAGGAUGUUUCUCCCUGCGCAUUCGAGCAAGUCAUUAUCGUCUGCUUGCAAAAGGAUGUUCUGUCAUUUCAUCUAAGUAUCUGUGUUUUCAAUAGUUUCGAGGCUGCGCGCAGAUUGCUAUGAUGUUCAGACAUUGUUAUCGCACCGUGUUGGUAUAAUGGUAGGGUUCUUGUUUGUGUGUCGAGGCAGUGAAUGACUUGAAAGGAGGUUAUUCUCAGUGCAUGAUUUAGAGGUUCAACAUUUUAUUUCCAGCAGAGGAAAGGCAAUCAGACUAUGAAUGUUCAGGUUUGGGAUAAUGGAGUAACGAGACUUGGUAUUUUCGAGCAUGGUGGAAUUCUCAAUUGCGAUGUGGUGUCAUCGUCCUUAUUGAACACGUUAAGGUUCACCAAUGUUAUAGUCUUCAUCAAUUUGCCUUCGGGGUAGGGUAGUGUGAAAUGGUGCCGGAGAAGUGGUUGUCAGAGAUAGCAGAGUGUAGCAAUUUUGGAAUCUAAUAGGUAUUUCUAAUGUUGAUGGCUUGAGAAGGAUGAUCGUCUAGGAGGCUUGGAGUUGGUGGCAAUUUAUUAGCUCAAGUGUUACAGAGAUGGAUUUGGAUUUGAGGUAACGAUUGGGUAGCAGAGGACGUUGAAGGACAUGUGGGAGGUGUUUUGCAGUGGUUGAAUUGCUAAAAGGCCAAGUAUGAAAAGCAGAAGUCGAGGAGUUACUUAAAGGAGAGGAUUUAACCAAAGUGAGGCAGUGGUAGAGUAACAUAUGGGUUCUGUGGUAGGAUGGCCACACACCUUGAGGAAAGUUUGGAUCCGUUUGGGAAUUCAUAGUGGGUAGUGACUAGGUCCACGGAUUUUAUUUGGAUGCAACAUGACUUCCAGUUUGGAAUGUAUUGUUGGACUUCAGCUGCUGUCAAUGGGGAAAAAGAAAUCUCGGUGGGUCCCGGGGUUAUGUAAUUGUAGCUUCAAGCUAAGUGGGAGAGCCCCACCGUCUAAGAUUGGAUUGCGUGGUUGUCUACUUGUGCGGUUUCUUGUUAUCGAUGUAUUGGUGGGUUAUUACGACUAAGGAAAGAAAACAUCAUUAGUAAUUUGAGCAAAUGAUUUGAGGAAUGUGUGCUAUAUUUGGCCUUAUCGAUUCAUGUGCAGGUUUUGGAAAGACUCAAAGUUUAUGCUUCAUGUGGAUGUGAUGUACAAAGAAAGGAAUUCAACAGGUUGCUUCUUUGAGAGGGUGUUCAUGUGCUAACAGGGCCUUGGAGUUUGAUUAUAUUCGGGAACAAGUCAGAGUGGGUGACUCUCAACGACGAUCCUAGUGGGUUCAAAAAUUAAGGUUCGGUACCUGAGGAUUUCGAGUACAUGGUAUGGUUAAGUAUCGAGAUUUUGAAGUGGAUUAUGAAAGGGACUUGGAUUGUUCUAUGUUAUUAUCAGUCUGCAGUGCAGCAUUGGGAGAAAUGGGAGAAAAUAACUUCGGAUUUGUAGAGGAAUUAUCAGAAUGAGUGUACUAGUUGAAGAUACGAAUAUGCACAUGUUUACCGUGAAAAUGGUAACAACAAUUAAAUUUGUAAAUGGGAUUCUAAAAAUACGUGAUAUAUUUUUAUGCUAGUUGUUAGAGCGGUUGAUGCUAAGAGUAUGAAGUUUAACGGAGAGAUACAAGCUAAAACGGGGCAGUAAUCAAACCCAGGGGACUUGCUGCCCGAGCUUCGGACUGGUCGAUGAAGGACCUCGAGGGCGAUAUCUGACUCAAUCUCGAGCUAUCGGGGUAACCGAGAAAGGAGAUAACAGUUAAGGUAUGAUCAAACUAGGCUCUUUAUGGCCUAUGCCAAGCAACAAAUGAAGAACAAGUAUGAAAUUAAUAAAUGCUAAAGUGGCCUCGAGCGAGUAAGUUAUCUAGAAGAAAGCGAGAGAGAUAUUAUUGAGAUUGUUUAGAGUAGUUGGAGUUCUAUCCGCCCUUUACAAAGUAGUGUGGGUUCUUCAUAUAUAGGAGGGGAAUCCGGUUAUGGUAGAGCAUACAUUGUAAGGCAUGGAGAUAGGACGACUAGAUGUGAUGCCUCAGCAUAGGAUCUAGGUAGGCCGGCUCUGUCAGACUUAGCCGUGUGCCUUGGGAACUUCCCCUUCUACUCUAGCCUCGACCUUUGUCUUCCUUGAGUUGGGCCUCGACGAGCCCAGAGGGAGGGGACUCGGUUGCAACUCCACGUCCUCGGGAUCUCGAGGUAUUCUUCCGAAGUGGCUUGAUAGCGAGAAAUUAAGUCCUCUAAUUUCACCGCAUACAGCACACAAGGAGGAUAUGAGAUAGUUCUUGGGUUUGAGACAACAUGGUCUCAUGAAAUGGGGUCACUAAGGAUGAUGCAGAUUGAGUUCGUCAUAUUUUGAAUAGAGCUAUUAUUUUUUCUUAAGCAAGUCCAGAGUAAAUUACAAUAAGUUGGUUCAGUUAGCAAUGGUUUACUCGGCAUGAUGGUGGCAAUGAUCAAUUCCCUCAGCGUGUUAAUUUAUACAAGUGAUUUGUGGCAGUACAUGCGAGGCUUGACGACCGUCGUAAUUUGAUUUGUUUUGGAGGCAUUCGAUUAUUAUGGCAUGUUACAUGUAGAUGGAUCCCGAAAGAGUUAUGGUGGUUUAGUCCAGAACUUGAGGUUGGUGUUUUUUGCGGUUAUGGGAAUUCAGUCGCGUGUUGCAAUGGUUCUCCUAAAAUGAGUUAAGUAAAAGGUUUCUAUAUGAUAAAGUGUUUAUUUCACUAGUAGUUCAAGGGUUAUGGUAAAUACGUGUAUUAUCGCAUAGCGACAUGAUGGAUGCAGUGAGUGGCAUUUCGCGGUUCGGUGUUGGCAAGAAUGUCACGAGCUCGGAGGAAGGAAUUCAGACGUUUAGAGUAAGCUAGUAUUUUCUUUAGUGUCACCUGAGAAUGGUGUCCUGUGUAAGAGGCUUAGUGUGCUGAUUUGUGGAUUCUUGAUUUGCUUUACAACAUUAGUAUGGCCGGUGGUAUAGAUGUGCAAACUUGUUGCAUAGUGCGAAAGGUCAUGGGAGCAUAUCCCAUUGGAAGAUUGUAUAAGUGUGACAUGUAGUCACUUGAUUGAUUAAAUAUUGAAACCAAGUAUGGAGAUUGCGGUACUAUCGCUAAUGUGAGAAUUUAUGCCCGAAGGGCGCUCUAUUCAUUUAUUCGUAGAAUGUGGAAGUUUGUUCUGGAUUUGACGGCUGUUAUUGUAUGUCAUGGGGAAAAGGUUAUUGUGGAUCCUUGAAAGGUUAUAAUCCUAGUACGGUUCCAUCAUAAUCAACUUGAUGUCCGUGGAUGGAUCUAUAUGUGAAUGUGUGCUCUAUAUCAGGCCGGAUGUGUUCAUUUCAGCAUAGCAUUGCUUACAGAGAAGUCUUCGGCCUUUGGAUGUUAUUUCUAUCGUAAGCUAUUUCAUGUAGUCUGUAUUGUGCUAUGUGGGUUGUGAGACGGUUCGAUUAUUCGCACACGUAUUGAGAUCUCAUGUAGUUUGUGGUGUUGUGAGAGCAGGAUAACUCUCGAGAUGCAAGUCAUUUAUUGCACCUUAGUCGUGCUUGAGUUUUGUAAUGUAUGGAGCUAUCUAUCUCCCUAGGGAUGAUAUUAUACACUUGGCAUGCUUAUGGUCGACAUUCGGGUAUUUCGUAGGUAUGAGCAUUCUGGCUCGGUAGGUAUUUCCUUAUAGAUUAUUAUGUUAGGAUAGAGUGGCAUGCCGCCAUGGGUAUGUUGUUUGGAUUGGGUGUCACGCCGCCACAGGUAUCAUGGUUGGAUCGGGUUGCACGCCACAAAGGUAUCAUGUGUGGAUCAAGUUGCACACAGUAAUAGUGUGAUGUUGAGUACAGUUCCCUAUAUCUAUUCUUGUGUGUUUUGUUUCUCAUUUCAUGAGGAAGGUUCAAAACAUCUUUUCAGUUGUUUAAUUAGUUAAGUGGGUUGAGUAGUUCUUUCCAGAGUUCAUAUGUCCUUAUGUAUUUGUUUACCUUGAAAAUGAUAAUAACAAUUAUAUUUGAUUUGUAGUUCUAAAAAUACGUGAUUUAUGUUAAUACUAGUUGUUAUAUGAAUAAUGCUAAGUGGAAACGAGCAAGAAAUGAUAAGCAAAUCAGUGUGGUUGUAAGAUUGAGGCCUCGAGCUCGUUGAUGUAGGACCUCGAGGGAGGCCUUUAAUGGAUGAUAAUGAACAAUAAAUGAAUAAGUAAUAAAUUUGUAGAGUAAUUGUUCAGCACGUUUAGGCAAGAAAAGCAGAGAAUGUUCUAUUGUAUUCAAUAUUCACGUGUGAUACAAAAUGACUAGGGUCCCCUUUAUAUAGGAGGGGGGAAUCCCAACAUAGUAUAUGCCUAAAAAUGACGAGGAAAUGCUAUUGGUAUAGCUGUGUAAUGACCUAGUAUGGAUUUGUACUAUUCAUGCAGACCUGGUCAGCUCUAACCACGUGUACUUGGGAGCUUUCCCACCUUUCCAUGAAGAUCAUCGAUUGGUACUGCUUCGAGAUUGACCAUAGUGAACCUUCGAUGUGCUCCCUCGAGGGACUCACCUCGAGGUCACACUUCGCAUUCUGCUUCGAGCUUCUCGGGGUUGAGCGUGGAGUUCCACAGUAGGCCCAAAGUCGAACUCCCCAAUUUUGGCCUUAUACAGAUAGUCCCCAAAUUUCUUAGAAUGAAAUGAUAAGAAAUGAUCUUGAAUUCUUGCCUCUUCGAUACUCCCAUUGACAUUAGCCACGUGAGAUCAUUAAAUGGCGUGAAAAAAAACAUUGUACAGAGGUCUUGUCAAACACGGUUCUCGAAAAGCCCACAAACCGCUAUUGGCCGCCCUUUCAACUCUUCCAACACACUUAGAUGACUCUUAUAAAUAUUCCAAUUCCCCAUCUUGUAAACCUUUACAAUAUCUUCAAGUCUUCUAAUCUUUGUUAAUAGUUUCAUGUCUUCAUCCUACUUCUGUGUUCACUUUUUCGUCAGCUUACUUUGAAACUUUGCUGUAACCUUGGCAAAAAUUUCUAAGACAGUACCUCAAAAAGAGGAAGCCCCUUAUUCGUCACGCUCGACCGAGAGUAAAAAGAUAGCGCCUCCUCGUAUUGAAGAGUGUAUUCCUGGGCCCUUCGAUACAUCCUUCGAUUUCAAAAUUGAAAAACCUUCUUCGGUAUCGGGCCGAUGCGAGUCCAUGUCUCGGUACAUUAGUCUUAUAGCCGACAUAAAGAAAGUGAAAAUAGAUUGUCUUGGGGAGAGGCAGUACAAGUAGAGAUCCCUUCAUCGGAAGAGGAUAUAACCACACACAGAGCUGGUUUCCUUAGCAAAUAUAUGCUUCCCUUUACCUUAGGUCCUGUAGAUUCUUCUUCUCCACCGAUAGUCCUGGUGAUCCUCGAUUUUUUCCAAUAGUAUCGAGUGAAGGUUGGUCAAAUUUAUCCCUCUUUUUGUAGAAUCGUCUAUUUGAUUAGAUAUUUCUUGAACAUGGUCAGGGGGAUGAAUUUCACCCUCGAUCAUCUGAUUAGAUUGUAUAGCCCUCGUCUCUAUCGACGGGGCCUAGUCAAACUGCGGUGUAGAUCUACCAAAGCAUUUUUUGCCAGCAUUGAUGAAGAUAAAGACCGGGGGUGGAUGAGCCGCUUUGUUCGAGUUACGACUUCGGAUCUCAUUCCUGCCGAGAAGAUGCCAUUCUCUAAGGAAUGGACUAUGAGACAUAAGUGUCGUUACACCGAACAUGUUUUAUAAUCUAAAUGUCCCAUUUUCCUCUUUCGAACUAAUUCCUUUCUUGUUUGAAUGGAUUUUCUUCCGGAUACAUGGCCACCGUGUGGUUCCCCGAUGCGGUCAAGUACCUCCAGGGCUGGGUUAAACUCUUAGACUCUGCCUCCUCAUAUGAGAAGCGUGUUUGGCAUGAUUUGGCCAAAACUCGAUGGGAGGCCAAAAAUCAUGGUACGCUCUCACCCCUGUCACUUCUAAAUUCCUUAUAAAUAGAUUUCUUGGUGGUGUGUUUGCCAUUUUAAGCUUGUGCAGGCCUCGGAGAAGCCGUUUCAAUUAGACCGCUUCCUUCUAGUGAAGAGGAGACCCAAAGACCCGCCAAAGAUAGAAAGAGAAAGAAGUAGAUGCUGGUGGAGUCCCCGAAACCAAAGAAAGCUAAUGCUCGAAAGCCUAGGGCCGAUGCAACAGUCCUAACUCUGGAAGCUGCUGAAAGUCUUCGUGCUGAAGAUGAAGACGACGAUGGUUUCCCUCUGGUACAUAAGGCAAGACGAUGCGCUGAUGCUUCGAAGGUUGUCGGGCAGAAGAUUGUCGAGUCUGAGGUGGCCGAUGCAGUCCCACCUCGUAUUCAGGAGACCAUAGAGGAGGGUUUGGAUGCAGUACCCGAGCUGACCACUGGACAUGAGACAACUUCUGUCGAUGAGCACUUGGCUGGCGCAUUCGGAGGAUCCAGCUCUAAGGCCCUUCGAGGGCGAGAAGAAGCCCCGAUAGGGGUUGACGUCAUAGGAGAUCUUCAAUUAGGACCAUCGUUUUCCCUAGGGCAAAUACGAGAUUCCUAGAAUCGGGAGACUCCCGAUGUGGGGGCAUCCCAGGGAGGGGAUGAGGCAUUUGGAGAUGUUUUUGCCGAUGUUGAAGUGGAUGCUGAUCUCGAUGCCCAGUCGUCCUCGAGGAGGCUACGAAACUCCAAAAACAUGUGAUUUUUGACAUAACCUUUAUGCCUUGAGUUUUGAUCUUUGUUUUUCUAACUUCAUUCUUUUGUGCUAUAGGUCACGAUGCUGUAUGACCAGGCCUUUUCCAAGUUAAGAACUGAACUGACUCAUUGUGAGGAGGAGUUCAAGAAGCUUGCUUCAGAGUCGAAAUAGCUAAAAACACUAUACGCCUGAAGGGAGGAGGAACUGAGCAUCAUUCGAGAAAGCUCGGAGAAAGUGCUCCAAGAGCGGGCCAACUUCAUCGAGCAGGUAGUUCGGUAUUCAUGAGCUUGCUUUUUGUUUUCAUACUUGGUAUUUAUGACCUUGACUCGACAUUUGCAGAUUGAGCGCAAGGAUGCCCUAGCGGUGCAGCUUCAGGAAGAGAUUGCAGCCAAAUAUAUCGAGAUCCUUGAGCUAAAGCGGUACAAGGAUAGCAUGGCCUUGGAAAGGGAUACUCUUCGAGGGGAGCUGGCCUCGACCCAGAGUCUUCUUCAAGAUUCUAAAGAGGAGGCUCACAAAUUCAAGGUGCUUCAUGCUGAGUCAGCUGCCGCGUUAUCAAUGGCCAAGUUUGAAGUUGAAUCACUCCUAUCCUCGUAUCGAGAUGAUGCUGAUGUAGUGAAUACUCGAGCCAUGGAGAUAUCUGAAGAGACCGAGCUCAAACUGGCUCGCGCCCUUGCACAUGCUUUAUUAAAAGCUCGGAGGCAGGCCUUUGAGGAAGUGCAUGCCAAGGGUUUCGAUCUCUCUACCGAGAUCGAAGAAGAGAGGCUUUGGAAGAGGAGUCAGAAGCUCUGACUACUUUGGACGAGGGCUCUGCGAGCAGCUUAGGGAGUGGCGAAGAUGAAGACUAGGUCACCUUUGCUCUUUUUACUUCUUCUUCUUUUGUAUGUGGACUCCGUGUGGGAGUUUUGUAAAUGCACCUUUGUAAAUAUAUUUUUGGAAUGAAAAGGAUUUUCUUUGUUUAAUGUCUUCGAAGUUUUCCUUUUAGUGUUCAUUCCGAAGUCAAGCUUUGAACUUGAAUUUAACUUCUUCGAGCUUGGUCUUAGAGACCCUUAAUAUCGGGUUGUUCUGGUUUCAAUCGCAUACCUUCCCUAGGUCGGGUUGGUAGGGAAUCGAUUUUACUCCUUGAUGCCACGAACACAGUGUGGUGACAUAAUUCUUAUGACAUGACCGUGAAGUGACCGAAAUGGCCUUGUCGGUACAUUUCCAAAAAAGUCAUAAUUGCAUUGUGAGAGCUAAUUGGCUAUCAAAGUUAAUGAAUAGUCGCCGCUCUUCUUAUAUAUACUUGUUUUCCUUUCAUUGGGGGCUUUGCCCUUUGUGCAACUAUCUUUCUCUAUAGCGUUCCUUUUUUGCGCUAGUUCUAGCACCGCAUCAGAUCAAAGCUUUUGCCUAGUUUUUCAUCUUCCCAUUCUUUUUUGAAGGAGCUAUGGCUACCAUGCCCAAAUUCGCUCACCAAGAAGAGGGAAGUCCCACCUCUACUUCCCGCCUAGCCGGUGGUACACCGCUGGCGUUUGGCGAACUAACUUCGAACUAUUUCGUCUCGAUGAGAGAUUUUACGAUAGAGGAAUCUCUCUAUUCCGGGCCAUCAAGAACGUGCAUCGAGGUUCAUUCGAUCAAUAGAGGAGAGACACCUCGAGGCUGUAAGGAGAGACUGCGGACGGGGAGAAAAGGUGAGGCUGCAGGUACCCUCCUGAGAAGAGGAUAUUAUGGCCCACGUAGAGGGAUUUCUGAACGUGUAUACGUACCCUUUUACAUUGGGUCCUCUCGACCGACUCGUGCUCGAAUUAUGUCGAAGAUAUCGAGUUACUUUGGCUCAAAUCCAUCCGUCUUUCUAGCGGAUUAUGUUGAUGAUGAGAUUUUUUGCUGAAAAGGGUGAGCUCGAGUUCACUCUCAGCCAUCUUAUCAGAUUGUAUCAGCUUUUACAUCAUCGAGGUCUAAUUACACUACAACACCGAUCCACCAAGCCCUUUAUUGCCAAUGAUGAUGAGGACAGGGAUCAAGGGUAAAUGAGUCGGUUUGUCCGAGUGAGGACUAUUGACAUUAUUCAUGCCGUUUCCCAAGAAAUGGAAUUUCAAGCGUAAGUGAAAUACUAUACUCUAUUAUUUUUGUUAUUGGUGGAGCCUGACUCUAUAAGGAAGUUUUCUUUCCUUUUCCGCAGCGAUCCCAUGGAUUCCAAAUGAGGUACCCGAUCUUGCGGACUGGGCCCGCAAACUGGCGGCCUCUUCGACUUAUGACGAGCAUAAUUGGCGAGAUUUGUCGAAAGGCAAAUGGGAGGCUAAGCAUCAUGGUACGUGCUAUGUAGUCCUUCUCUCGAGGAGUACUUUCCCUUUCGUACAGUAAUUUCUUUAUUGCAGGCAACAAUGAGUUUUAUGAGGUGAGACCGUCCCCUUUUGAGGAGGAUAAAAGGCCUUCAGUUUUUGAGACUGAGAAGGAUAAUAAAAGUAAAAGGUCCUUGAAGGACGAGGAUUCCCAUAGCAAAGCAGGAUCCGCUCGGGGGCGCGAGUUGGACGUUGCCGCUGACGAAGAUCUCAUUUUUAUCUGUUAUUCUGUGGACAUCAAUGCACUCGGAGAGGAUGACUCCACUUUGAUGGCUCGAACCAGGAGGUCUCCCAAGACUGUUGAGCCUGUUGGGUUCAAGACCCCUAGUCUCGAGGGAGAGAUUCCACAAGAGAGGAGGGGUGAAGGUCCUUCAUUACCUGAUUUGGAGCUGGUUCUCGGACGUCGGGAAGUACUCCAAGAGAAAUGGGCUUCGGUGCAUCUCCGCCCAAUCAGAGUGCCUUGAGUUGCUCUACCGGGGCUGAUGAGACCGAGCCGGUAGAUGAAAAAUCGACCUUCGAGAAGGCUCAACGAAUCUACUCUAUGGUGAGUUUUGAAGUCAAUAUAACUUUUCCAACUUCAUUCUUUCUUCUUUUUAAUUGAACCUUUCUUUCUCAUAGGCCUCUGAUAAGCUCAAGUUUGAGUUGCUUCGCUGUGAAGUUAAGUUGCGUAAAGCCUUGAAUGGGGAGAAUCUCUCAGGCUUCUUUGUGAUAAGAAGACAAGAGAGCUGAUACAUCUUCGAUCGGAGUUGGACUAAAGUCGUGAUUACAAAACCAACCUCGAGAAACAGGUAACCUAUAUUUUGAGGGAAUACAGGCUUCUUCUCCCAUCUUUGAAAACUAAUGUUUCGGUAUCUCAGUUGCAGAGAAAGACAGAGACGCUGGAGCACCUUCGGGGCAAAACAAACUAGGUUAAUUCUGAAUGCAAUGACUUGAAAGCACAAAUAGAUGCUCAUGUUGCAGCCAAAAGGAAUGCUUUGGCUAAGGCCUCCGCCCUCGAGAUACAACUUCGUAAUGCUCGAGAAAGCAACUCGAUCUAGGUGAGCAUGGUUGCUAAGCUUGAAACAGAUCUUUUGAAUAUUAAAGCCGAAGUCGUGGACGCUCGAGCUGAAGUCGAAGAGGUCCGAGCAAAGGCCGAUAAGAAGGUAGCCAUCUAUCUGAAAGAUGCUGCUGAAGGUCGUACAAAGUUGAGGGGGACUUCCGAUAGAGAGAUAAGAAGCAAUGAAUAUGCCCGAUGCAAAUCCCGGAGGGAAACUCUCGAGGAGAUUCAUGGUAAGGUCUUCGAUCUCUCGGAGGAGAUAGAGCAUGCCAUGGAGGACGAGUUCGACGCCAAGUUCCUCAUUUUCGUUGCUGAAGACAAUAAGGAGGAGGCCGGUGAGGGAGCUAGUCCUGAGGAAGCCGAUGGAGACAUAGUCCCCGAGGGGGAAAAGGCUAAGUUUUCGAGGGUAGACUAGGUUUUUCUUUCUUGUUCUUCGUAUAGGGCUCCCUGUGGGAGUGUUGUAAAAGUAAUUUUGUACCAUUAUUUAUAAUAAAAAAGGAAACCUUUGGUUUUUCCUUUAUAUGAAUUUCUACUUGCUUGUGUCUUUGUUUAUGUUUUGAGUGUUGAUGCUUGUCGAUAAUUAGUCCGAUAUGUUGGACUUUAAGAUAGAAACCCUUAGGUUGUGCUUGAUGAGUAAUUGAUAAUAGUUGACCGUUCAGGGCUCGGUCCUUGAAUCAAGUUUUGACUCAGGCUCAUUGACCCUUAGGCUUUUUAGGCCGGCCCUUAGGCUCUUAUGCAUUGGCCCUUAGGCUCUUUAGGCUGGCCCUUAGGCUCUUACGCAUUGGCCAUUAGACACUUUUAGAUUGGGUUGAUGCGACCUCUAAUAUGGCUAUAGUUUUCCCCAUUUCGGCUGAAGACUUUGAAGUUUUGAUUAUGGCUUGACAUGUUUUGUGUUCGUCCGAAUCUUCGAUGACUCAAAUAAGAACCUCGAUUAUGAGUCGAUAUGUGACGAUAAUUGAGUACUUCGGGAGGUUCUCCUGAAGGCUGAUUUUUUCGAAGCCUUUUUGCUGAAGGCUGAUUGUCUCGAAGCCUUUUCAUGUUUUAGAGAUGAUAUGAUCGAAGCUCCUUUGCUUAUGCUGGGGGUAUCCUGAUUAACUAGUUCUUUUCGAAGUAUUUGAAGGCCUUUAAUUUUAUGGCGGCGGUUGGAUGUCUCUGAGCCGCGUUAAUUUGGACGGAGCCUUUUGAUAUGACUAGGAGUGGAAAAUGGGUGGGUCGGGUCGGAUAUGGUUCGGGUCCAAAACGGGUAAUAAAAAAAUGGGUCAAUUAUCCGACCCAACCCAUAUUUAAUACGGAUAAAAAAUGGGUAACCGGCGGAUAAUAUGGGUAACCAUAUUAUCCAUGAAUUCUUGCAUAUGAUCACUUUUGGGAGAAUUCUUAGUCUCCCUAACUUGAGGACCCAAUUUGAGACUUUACAAAUGUAAAAGUUAGACCCAUUAGUUAUCCAUUAGUUACUCAUUGGUUAUCCAUUUUAUNNNNNNNNNNNANNNNNCAUUAUCCAACCAUUUUUAGUGGUUAACAGAAUUCCUUAUCUAGAAUUUUUGGUUCCGUAGACUUUUAAAAUAAAGUCGAUUUUCCUCGAUUUAGGAUUUUAAAAUAAACAGGUGACUUGGGACACCAAAUAAACUAUUCUAAGUGGCGACUCUGAUAAAUUAAAUAAAUAAUCCCAUUUUGGAUAAUGUCACCUCAAUUGGAAAAACUCCCUUAUAUCCGCCCUCGGGGUAGUAAAAAAGGAGGUGUGACAGCUCUGACGACUCUGCUGGGGAGUGUAACCCAGAACUUUUGGUUCAGGGUUCAAGAAUUUAAACCUAGAAUAACUGUUAUACUUGGCUUUAUUUAUUAUCUGAUUUUUACAUGUUUGAACCUAAUGUGCUAAAUGCCGCUUUUUACCUCUUUGAUAUUGUUUGGACUAUAUAUAAACUGUUAUGAAAUUCUUCUUCUCUCUGAGUCUUCUAAAUCAUCUGGGAAGUGUGCACUUCGUGUGACUUCUUUUCUGUUAGAGUCAUAUCCCAAUUUUAGAAUGAGGUUCGGAUAAGUUGCAAAGCCGGUGAAGCUUCUGUAUUCUCGGUACGCUGCCCCCCUCGUCUCGAGCUGGCCACUCGGGUAAGCCAAGUCUACAAAAAUACACACAAGUUUUUAAACCUAGAAUAACAUAGCCUCAUGUUGGAUCCCUAGUAGGAACGUUUGUUUGCAUUAUGUACAUCUGACUUUGCGGACUCAACACAGGGGUUAGGUCCGUCUAGGACAGGUGUACCCAAAUUAAAAAGACCAUCCUGAUGCAUCUUACGUGCUACUUGCGCAUCUAUUUGUUUCGGCUUGCAUGUUGACCGGCUUCUAGAAUAGGGAAAGAAAAUAAAAAAAAAUCAAAAUAAAAAACAAGAGUGAGAGGUAGGUAUUUGAAAAAUUUCGAAACUCUACCGAAAUUCUGAAAAAAAAAGGGAAAAAGAAAAAGACAAGGUCAUUUCAAAAUGAGCCCAAAAUGUUCAAGUGUCAUGUUUCCCUGUUCCGUCAAAAUUGAGCGAACUAUACGGGUCUGAUUCUCACCGGAUGUGAGAUACGUAGGCAAACCUCAUCGGUUCCGAUCCCAAUUUUCAAAAAUCCGAAAAUAUUUUCCUUUUGUUUUUUCUUUAGAAAUCUUUCCUUAGAAAAUUCAAAAAAAAGCUGAAGUUUUUUAAACUCAAAAAAUGGUUUUCUUCUUUCUAAAGUCUUUCGUAUGAAAAAAAGAAAUAAACGAAAAUCAAUAAAAAAAUCAAAACCCAAAAUACAGGUUUCCUUUAUUUUGAAGUAUUUAUCCCAAAAAAAAAAUCCAAAAGAAAUCAGAAAACAAAAAUCCAAAAAAUAAUAAUUCUUUUCCUUUUUUAAAGGUCUUUCUUUCGUAAAAGGGUUAGAGAGAAGCAAAAAUGAUGAAUAGAGGUGCAUAAAAAAGGGUUAAUUAAGGCCGGGAAGAAACAAGCAACUCGUUCAAACACAUAGUAGAAACGUUUAACUGUUUAGGUGCAUUGCAUCCCGAUAUGCGAUUUCCUAUCUGUUAAGCAUCUCAAAACUAACAAGGUUGUUGGGUAUGCAAGAUAACUAGGUCCUGUUCAGGUAGUUGGUUUUGUUGGUAAUUUGGCUUCCGAUCCUUAAUUCAAAACAACGGAAAGGUUCCUACGGCCUCUGAAAACCAUCUACAUAUCAUCGAUCCUGAGGAUAUCCCAGCACCGACUAUUCUACUACUAGAAUUAGCGGCUGCUGAAGAGAAUAUGAUGUUGUGUCUCCGCAUAUCGGAAAUGUGGGUCGCCUGGUCUAAUGGUAGGGAACCUCCAAGUGCAAUUCCUGAGUUCCCUGAGUUAAUCCCCAGGUCAGGUGAGGUUACCAACGUCCCUGUGCCCAACCCCCUCAUCCCAUGCGAGCACCCUCUAAUGCCCUCCAAUGAUCCUGGCAUGACUUCUGUGGUUCGCCCCCAGGCACCGGCUUCAAGGGCACCGCCUCCAAUAUUCAUCUUUCAGGGUCACAGCUUCAACCAGAAAUAAUAUAUGUGACCCCAUACUCUUUCACUCAACCUCCGCAAUGUGAUCUCUUGGUGGAGCAAGAAAAGGUCGUUAAAAUUCCUGAGCAAGAGGAAAUGGCUCGGAAGAUGAAGAGCCUAGAACAAAGGAUGAAAAACAUGCAAGGACUGAGUGGCCAAAAGAGUGUCUCAUACUCUGACCUCUGUAUGUUUCCCCAUGUCCACUUGGCAACUAACUUCAAGAUGCCAAAAUUUGAAAAGUACAAUGGGCACGGAGACUUGGUCGCUCACCUGAAACGAUAUUGUAACCAGUUGAGAGGCCCUGGUGGAAAAUAUGAGCUACUAAUGGCCUAUUUUGGGGAAAGCCUCACUAGAAUCGCUUCUUAGUGGUAUACAGAUCAAGAAAUUACCCAUUGGCACGUGUGGGACGAUAUACCCCGUGAUUUUGUCAGCCGGUUCCAAUAAAAUGUGGACAUCACUUUCGAUAGAAACUCUUUGUCCAAUUUGAAAAAGAAAAUCGCGGAAAGAUUCUGUGAAUAUGCCGCCAAAUGGCGUGAGCAAGCUGCCAGGGUAAAGCCACCAAUGGACGAAAUUGAAAUGGUCGCAGUUUUUCUACAGGCCCAAGAGGCUGACUACUUCCAGAACAUGAUGUCUGCUGUGGGUAACCCAUUCGCUGAGGCUAUCAAUAUUGGAGAAAUGGUUGAAAUUGGUUUAAAAACAGGUCGAAUCUUGGGUCAUGCUACUUUCAAGGCCACAUCACAGUCUGCUUAGAAUGGUUCAGAGGGUUUGAUGAACAGAAAUGGGAGUGAAGAGGGAGCCAUGAUGGUUUCAAGCUCGAGGGGGGCCAGUAGGUCAUUCAGCCAGUCAUAUGUGCCUCCUAUCAUCCUACCACACUAUUAUCCCCUUUAAGAUGCUGCUUAUGCCAUGGCACCGCCUCCCUAUGAGGUGAUGAACGCACAACCUUACCCGCAGCCACAAUAUUAUCCACAAAACCGAGCUCCACCUUGCAGAAAUGCCCAUCCUUACCAAGCUCCAUAUAAUCAUCAACCAAAUGUUAUCCAGUACAAUCCUCGCCCAAGAGAGCCUUUCAGAAAGAAUCAGUUCACCCCUAUUGGUGAAUCAUAUUCAAGCUUGUUCCAAAGGCUAAUCAGGCUAAAUCUAUAGUAGCCAAUGGCCCCGAACUGGCCAAACCUAGAGUCCCCCUCGCACUGAGCUGAUGCUAUAUGUGAAAACCACUUUGGAGCAGUGGGACACAUUACAGAUGACAUUUAGACCCUUGAAGAUUUGAUUGAAGCUAAAGAAUUGUUUUUUGGGAUGAAGAAGCUCCUGAUUUGAUGAACAAUCUGUUGCCUGCCCACAACAUCGGGCCAAUAGUCGGAAUGAUUUAUGAAUAUGAGGAAUUUGAUCCGGCACUGAAGGCCAUUGCAGCCAUUGCUGAGACAGAAGAAAAGUCAAAAAAUGGUCGCCAAGCCUGAAAGUUCCCUAUCAGAUGGGAGUCUCGGUAGCCAGUCUUGCUAUCCUUUCUGCAUCCGGGUUAUCUCAGGGUGUGAUCCGGACGUUUUACUUUAUUGUCUUACUUUCCGAUGUAAAUCCUUCUAUCUUUAAAUUCAAAAAAAAAAUUCAAAUGAAAUUCUUCUAGGUAUGUCUCUUUUCUUAAUCUUGUCAUUUUUCUUAUUCUCUUUUUAGUUCUGUUAAAUGCAGAUUUCAAUAACAUGACAUGCUUGCGGACUUCAUGCCCAGAUCCUGAAACGUUGUCAGACCUCGAAGUAAUGAAUCAAGAAUUAGAUCGCAAUGAAGAUAAGUUUAAGGAAAUAAAACAAAGAGUUGGAACAGCUGAAGGAAAAUUGGUUCUAGAUUGGAAAGGUCCAUACAUUGCAACAAGAGUACUGCCAAAAGAGUGCGUUCUACUUGGGACACAUCAAAGGAAAUGUCCCUGAAAUAACUGUCAAUGCAAAUACAGUCAAAAGGUACUAUGUGAGAUCCUCUAUGUAGCAUUACUUUUCUCCGAUUGGGAUGAAAAAGGCUUUCUUUCUCACUAUUUAAAUAUUCAACCCUUUGUAAACCAUUUGAGCUGGUUACUCUUCUUUGAUUACCCUCUUUGGAACCUGAAAGUAUUAUUGAAAUUGUUUUUUGAAAAAAUGAAAUAAAAAAUGAAUGAAAAGGGGAGAAAAAGAAAGAUACAAAAAAAGAGGGGAAGAAAAGACAAAGAAAAUGAAAUGAUUAAAAAAAGAGAGGAAAAAGAAAAGAAAAAAAAUGAGAAAACAAAAAAAAAAUAGAAGAAAAAGCAAAAGAAAAGAAAAACAAAAAAACAAAGUUCCCUGAACUAUGUUCGACUUGAUUCCGAAAGGAUACGUAGGCAGCCUUUCUCUGGGGUUCAGUUACACGAAAAUAAAAAUCAAAAGUUUCCCAAAAAGUGAAAUUGGGGUAGAUCCAAAUCCUUUUUUAUCCAAACCCUAUUUAAGUCCUUCCAAUAAAUCGGUGAUAUUGUUCAAGGACCGAAUAAUACAGUUACUUGGAUCCGAUACAGUCAAAAUGAGAGAAAUAAAAUGAGAGAGUCUUAUUGGUGAAAAUCCACACGGGUACCGUGAGGUGACAAUAAGCAAAGAAAUAAAAAUGAGCAAGUCUUGUUAGUGAACACUCGCAAAGAGCACCAUGAGGCGAUGUUGAGAAGAGAAAUGAGAGAGGUCAGCUCGUGAAAACCCGCAAAGGGCGCCCCUAAUCGAGAAAGGAUCCUCAUAGCCAUCGGCAUCGAUAGAGUCCUGGCAAGGUUUCUCGAUUUUGAGGCAAAGGUUGUGAUGAAUUUCUAAGAGUCAGAUGGUUUACACAAAUAGGAAUCCAGUUCAAAAGGCAUGUCAUGUUCAUUGAAGUCCGCAUGUGCUCUAGAUAAGUCCUUCUUUCCUUUCCCCGAAAGGGAUACUUCUUGUUUUAAGCUCAUUUUCCAUUCCAUUGCGUGUUUUCUUUAAAUCCCUUUCGGUCUAACUCUGUUCUGAAAAUAAGACAAAGAAAGGAUGGUAAGACUGAUUUACAGGGUUCUCGUUUGAUACAAGCUAAUAUGCAAAAAGGCACCCAGCCUUGUCAGGGGCAUAAGUCGGCCUCGACUGACCAUGGUGGCCGAUNNNNNNNNNNNNNNNNNNNNNNNNNGCCAAGGUACCCAAAAUGCUCUGAAAUUGUAAUUAGAAGAACGAAGCCAGAAAUGAAAGGCCUAUGAAUGCGAAACAAAGUUGAAAAAUAUCAAGCCCCAUGCGACUAGCCGUUGCGACAAAGUUUGAGAAGAAAAACAAACAAAAAAAAUAAAAAAGAAGAAGAAGAAGAAAAACAACAAGUCAGAAGGGAAAGGCCUACAGAGGCAAAAUAAAGUCGAAAAGGGUGAUUCCUACCGACCAACUGUCAUGGCAAACUCUGGAAAAACCAGAGGUUCUCUAGGGCCUGAAAUAAAAUCGGUCCUCAAGGAACAAGCAGUCGCAGUUAAGAUUUUCAUCAAAGAAGUUGGGCCGAGAUCAAGUGAUUGAAAUAAUCAAGGCUACAAAACCAACCAUCAUUUUAAACUAACAAUUGUUCUUUGUUUGAAAAUAGGAAACGAGUGCAAUCCAAAAGCAACCUUGCAAGAAGCAGGUGCGACCAAAACGAAACUGCACAAGAGCUUGAAGCAGCUUUGCCGCAACAAUCCAAAAAGGGAAGUCCCUUCCAAAAUUCUUUCCUGCAUUCACUCAUUCCAUGAAAUAAAAAAAUAAGAAAAAUUCAAAAUUAUGAUAGCCUAGGGUCCCCAAUCUCUAGCGUCAUUUUUCCAACAUAGGGUCUCAUCCCCUAAUCGCUUCCAACAUAACCUGGUAGUCUUUUCCAUUAUAGGGUUCCACUGCCUAGUUUAUCCCCGGCAUAACUCGAGGACCUUUUCCGGCAUAACCCGAUGACUUUCCCGGUAUAACACGUGGACCUCCCUGGCAUAACCCGAUGAUCUUUUUUCUUUUUCGGCAUAACCUGAUGACUUUCCCGACAUAACUCGUGGACCUCCCCGGCAUAAUCCGAGGAUCUUUUUUCUUUUCCGGCAUAACCCGAUGACUUUCCCGGCAUAACCCGUGGACCUCCCCACCAUAAACCGAAGAUCUUUUUUCUUUUCCGGCAUAACCCAAUGACUCUCCCGGCAUAACCCGAGGACCUUUUUAUUUUUUUCCGGCAUAACCCGAUGACUUUCCUGGCAUAACCCGUGGACCUCCCUGGCAAAACCCGAGGACAUUUUUCUUCUCCGGCAUAACCCGAUGACCUUUCCGGCAUAACCCGGUCAUUUUCUGGUAUAACCUGGUAAUUUUUCCAACUUAGGGCCCCCGAUCCCUAGUUGAUUUCAUAGGGCUCCACUCCCUAAUCUAUUUUUCCCAAGGAUACACAAUCCUGAUUUUAUUGCUUUCAAUAAAGAAGUAGUUUAGAGUUUUGUUAUAAUAACUCACAGAAUUUUCCUAGUGAAAAUUGGGACAGAAAAUUUUUAUUCGUUUGUUUGUUUUGGUGUCUGAGCAGGUAUUUACCUUGAGGCACAAGUUUCAAGACAACCAAAAGAAGAAGUCUCAAUCCAAAUAAAAGAAAAGAAAAAUAAGAAAAGAAGUUGAACUCUAAGUGUAGAAGCAGAGAAAAGAUGCGGACUGCUCAAAACAUGAUUGAAGUCACAAGCUUUGCAUGUCCCGCCUUGAUCCGAAAAGCUGAAGAAAAAUGACCCAGCGUUCGCAGCUAACGAUCAUCAAGAUUCAGAUCAGAGUCUGCAGGAAGAACCAACCAAGACUCAAAAUCAAGCUUCAGAAAACUCAUAGAUAAGAAUCUUGUAACUCGUAGCUGAUAGACUUAGUUAGUCUUUUUCAUUUUUGACUUUGAUGUAAUAACAGGACUGCAGACCGAAACCUCGACGGCAACUCAAUCGGCUCUCCAACCCAGUACUCCAUCACUUUUCCUAAUUCUGAACUAUAGGUGGACUGAUUCCUUUAUAGUCAAGGAUAUGUAGGCAACUCAAAUACCAGGGCUCGGUCACAUUCUCCUUUCUCUUAGUUUUUGGUCUCUCUAAAUAAGGGUCGGGUCAAAAGAUAUGUCUCGUCAUUCUUUGUCUGAAAACUCUUCGCGUUUUCAGUCAAAGAGGGGCAGCUGUAGACAUAUAAUUUUUGACCCUCCCAAAGAUUUUACACAUUUUAGCGUAAAAUAUUUAGUGUAGGUUUAAUAUCGUUAUUUUAAAUAGUUUUGACUCUUUUACUUUAAUUUAUCAAACAAAAAAAAAUUAGAAAAAAUAAAAUAAAUAUUUUCAUCUUUAGGUUAAAUUCAAUUAGUAUAUUUAUACUUAUAGUAUUAUAACAUUUGAAAAUACAAAAAAAAAAUAGUUUCACUCGUAGUAUUUAGUUUUAUAUUAGUUUAUUUUUAAUUUAGAAUGAUUUUUACAUUUUUAUAGAUACAUUGUAUUAUUUGAUCUUUUUAGCCUAAGUUCAAACCCAAAAGACAUUGUCCAACCCAAUUACCCUUAGCCCAUUCUUCCCAACCCAUUAGCCCACUUAAGUGCAAGAUUUAAUCCUAGCUAUCUAUUUCCUUCUAAUCCAAUGGCUACCAUGUCUUCCCACCUCCAUAUAAAAUAUCCAAUUAUAGAAACCCUACCCUAAGUUUUCAAUUCCAAGAACCUACACCCCAAUUCCCCCACUUCAACCACAACUCCCAAGAUAAUUCUCCUAGCCUUUCCAUUAUCCUCUCCAACGCAAUCUGUCACCCUACUUCCUAAAAACAAAGAAAACUCACAAUAAUCUUUAAGACUCCUAAGCUUUAGCAGACCAAAAAGUAAAAGGAGAUCUGGACAAAGAACAAAAAAAGAUGGCACAAAAACGAAGAUGAGGUAAAGAGCAGAGUGAGAAUAAAAAAAAAACAGAUCUAAAGAAGAACACAAAAAAUGAAGCUCACUUUCUCUUGUUCCUCUAAUAACACUCCAAACCCAGCAAAAUUAGUCCCAUAAUACACCUCAAUCUCCUUGAAAAGGCUCCAAAAUUCAGCUCGAAAUCGACCCAAAAUACUGUCGUCAGAGAGGUUCACGGUUUGCGAUUUUUGUUCAUCGUUGGAUUUCAAAAGAAAUGAAGUCAGCCUUUAUAUUGAAAUUGGAUUUUUAGAUCUGAAUUUGUAAAUUCGCUGGCUACAUAUUCUUAUUAUUAAAGAAAGAUUUCUUUGCUAAAGGUCAUUAUUUCUCUCCCCUUUCUUUAUUUAUCUUUGUAUUUGCUAUAGUUUUCCAUGUCUGUUAUGAAAAUUGAAGUUUAAACUCUUCCCAAUGACGCGAUCAUCUUCUGUUUGGGUCAUAUAUUUGUUUAUUCAUUUUUCUUUCCUCCAUUUUAAUAGUUAGGCUAGAUUUCAAUGUAAAUAUCUUACAUUUUGGUUUGGGUUUAAAACAUUUUGGCCGGUUAUGGAUAAUUUAGGCGUUAAGAUUUUCUUCCUAUUUACCUUAUGAUGCUUUACUCUUCUGUUGGUUUAAUUUAAUUGUUCUCUAAUAGUUGUAGAUACAUAUUUAAUUUUGAUUAAUCUUAGAGUUUAAG